GUGAGGAAUAUUGGUCAAUGGACGGAAGUCUGAACCAGCCAUGCCGCGUGCAGGAAUAAGGUCCUAUGGAUUGUAAACUGCUUUUAUUCGGGAAUAAACCUCUUUACGUGUAGGGAGCUGAAGGUACCGAAGGAAUAAGCACAGGCUAACUCCGUGCCAGCAGCCGCGGUAAUACGGAGGGUGCAAGCGUUAUCCGGAAUCAUUGGGUUUAAAGGGUCCGCAGGCGGGCUAUCAAGUCAGAGGUGAAAUCCCACAGCUUAACUGUGGAACUGCCUUUGAAACUGAUGGUCUUGAAUUAAGUGGGCGUUGGCGGAAUAUGACAUGUAGCGGUGAAAUGCAUAGAUAUGUCAUGGAACACCGAAAGCGAAGGCAGCUAACGAUACUUAUAUUGACGCUCAUGGACGAAAGCGUGGGUAGCGAACAGGAUUAGAAACCCCUGUAGUCC
rnacentral:rRNA from 1 species